rnacentral:lncRNA from 1 species
ACAUCGCCCUCAAAGAACACAAACGCAGAUGCAUCCCUGCCUCUUCAAGCAAAAGCUGCUAGUUUGGGUCGAACAUGGUCCUAAACAACAGCGGAAGAAGAAUCCAAAGAGGUGGAUUCUACAUCAAGUUGCAGAGAGGAAGGUGAUGAUGCUAAGUGUAGGGUCGUUGGCCUCCAUGGCGGUACGAGAGACGAAGAAUCUAGGGUCUGUGCCCCAUAGAUCUUGGUCGUUCCCUAGCUACGUAGGCUACCAAGUUGGUGGUGCUUCUUCAGCCUUGCG